rnacentral:lncRNA from 1 species
GUGUGGGUCAGAUAUGUACGAAGUCCCUCUGCAGAGUGUUGAGGACGGCCGGCUGGAGGUGUGCAUGGGAUCGACGGCCUGGAGCUUUAGGGAUGGGAUUGCUGAGCACAAAAGGGAUAUAUCUGAGGGAAGCCUUGGUGCUGCAUUGGUGCAAGGGGCAUGCGAGGGGGACGCGGGGGUCAUCUGGCGUGGUGCCCAUGUUGUGAGGGGGGUCCGUGAUUGAAGAGUGCUGCCAACAGUGGAGGGGGUUGAAGUCUUAAGAGACAGUGGGGGUGGUAAUGUCAUCAGCAUCGGGCGGGCCAAUGGGUUGAGUGCGGCCUGGAGGUGUGCAAUCAGAAAGAAUGUAUGGUGAACUUUUUGUUGAUUCCAC